rnacentral:rRNA from 1 species
GAUGAACGCUGGCGGCGUGCCUAAUACAUGCAAGUCGAGCGAACAGACGAGGAGCUUGCUCCUCUGACGUUAGCGGCGGACGGGUGAGUAACACGUGGAUAACCUACCUAUAAGACUGGGAUAACUUCGGGAAACCGGAGCUAAUACCGGAUAAUAUAUUGAACCGCAUGGUUCAAUAGUGAAAGACGGUUUUGCUGUCACUUAUAGAUGGAUCCGCGCCGCAUUAGCUAGUUGGUAAGGUAACGGCUUACCAAGGCAACGAUGCGUAGCCGACCUGAGAGGGUGAUCGGCCACACUGGAACUGAGACACGGUCCAGACUCCUACGGGAGGCAGCAGUAGGGAAUCUUCCGCAAUGGGCGAAAGCCUGACGGAGCAACGCCGCGUGAGUGAUGAAGGUCUUCGGCUCGUAAAACUCUGUUAUUAGGGAAGAACAAAUGUGUAAGUAACUAUGCACGUCUUGACGGUACCUAAUCAGAAAGCCACGGCUAACUACGU